rnacentral:pre_miRNA from 1 species
CUCGCCCAGCCCCGGCGAGGCUUGGCCCUCGCCAGAUCUGGCGAGGCCGAGCCUCGCCGGUGGCUAGGCGAG